UCGGGAAUUUUGCCCAAUGGACGAAAGUCUGAGGCAGCAACUCCGCGUGAGGGAUGAAGGCCUUCGGGUCGUAAACCUCUUUUCUCAGGGAAGAUACAAGACGGUACCUGAGGAAUAAGCCACGGCUAACUCUGUGCCAGCAGCCGCGGUAAGACAGAGGGGGCAAGCGUUGUCCGGAAUCACUGGGCGUAAAGCGCACGCAGGCGGCCAGGCAAGUGGUGUGUGACACCGGACGGCUUAACCGUCCGACGCCAUGCCAGACUGCCGGGCUCGAGCCGUGCAGAGGUCAGCGGAAUUGCCGGUGUAGGAGUGACAUCCGUAGAGACCGGCAGGGAACACCGAUGGGGGAAGCCAGCUGACUGGGCACCGGCUGACGCUCAGGUGCGACAGCGUGGGGAGUGAACCGGAUUAGAUACCCGGGUAGUCCACGCCGUAAACGAUGGAUGCUCGCCCUGUGGGGGUCUUAAGCCCUGCGAGGCUUAGCUAACGCGGUAA
rnacentral:rRNA from 1 species